rnacentral:lncRNA from 1 species
UAUUUACCCUUUUAUGACAAAAGUAAAAAGAAAAAAGAAGAGAAUAACAUAAAGUUGGAGAGAAAUAUUUUAUUGGAUUGUAAAAAAACAAUAGAAGCCGACAUUAUGAUGUUUACGUUUAGAUGGAUACGAGGUAGUUGGAUAAGAUAAGCUUAAUGAUAAUUUUUUUUUAUAAACUUGCUAAUAUUAUGGGUUUUCUUUGUUUUCACCAAAAAGAGAAUUAUAGAUUGAAAAUCUUAUUUUAGAUUGAAAAUCUUAUUUUUAUUUUAGAUUGAAAAUCUUAUUUUUAUUGAUAGUGUUUAAAAUCAAUCGGUGUAAAAAAUAUGGUCUAUAUCCAAGAUUAUAUAAAGUCA